rnacentral:rRNA from 1 species
UACGUAGGGGGCAAGCGUUGUCCGGAUUUAUUGGGCGUAAAGAGCGUGUAGGCGGCCAGGUAGGUCUGCUGUGAAAACUCGAGGCUUAACCUCGAGCUGUCGGCGGAAACCAUCCGGCUAGAGUCCGGAAGAGGAGAAUGGAAUUCCCGGUGAAGCGGUGAAAUGCGCAGAUAUCGGGAAGAACACCCGUGGCGAAGGCGGAUCUCUGGGCCUUACCUGACGCUCAGGUGCGAAAGCUAGGGGAGCGAACAGG